AUUUAUAUAGUUUAAAAAAAACCUUGCAUUUUCAUUGCAAAAAUGAACUAUAUUCUAUAAAUA
rnacentral:tRNA from 1 species